GACCUGGUGGUGAAAUGAAUCACACCUGCUUUGCCUGCCGGGGCUGAAAGAGAAAUAUUCGUAGGGGUCCCCGGUUCGAAUCUGGGCCAGGUCA